rnacentral:rRNA from 1 species
GGCUUAACACAUGCAAGUCGAGCGGGGUGAUGGUGCUUGCACUAUCACUUAGCGGCGGACGGGUGAGUAAUGCUUAGGAAUCUGCCUAUUAGUGGGGGACAACAUUUCGAAAGGAAUGCUAAUACCGCAUACGUCCUACGGGAGAAAGCAGGGGAUCUUCGGACCUUGCGCUAAUAGAUGAGCCUAAGUCGGAUUAGCUAGUUGGUGGGGUAAAGGCCUACCAAGGCGACGAUCUGUAGCGGGUCUGAGAGGAUGAUCCGCCACACUGGGACUGAGACACGGCCCAGACUCCUACGGGAGGCAGCAGUGGGGAAUAUUGGACAAUGGGCGGAAGCCUGAUCCAGCCAUGCCGCGUGUGUGAAGAAGGCCUUAUGGUUGUAAAGCACUUUAAGCGAGGAGGAGGCUACUUUAGUUAAUACCUAGAGAUAGUGGACGUUACUCGCAGAAUAAGCACCGGCUAACUCUGUGCCAGCAGCCGCGGUAAUACAGAGGGUGCAAGCGUUAAUCGGAUUUACUGGGCGUAAAGCGCGCGUAGGCGGCUAAUUAAGUCAAAUGUGAAAUCCCCGAGCUUAACUUGGGAAUUGCAUUCGAUACUGGUUAGCUAGAGUGUGGGAGAGGAUGGUAGAAUUCCAGGUGUAGCGGUGAAAUGCGUAGAGAUCUGGAGGAAUACCGAUGGCGAAGGCAGCCAUCUGGCCUAACACUGACGCUGAGGUGCGAAAGCAUGGGGAGCAAACAGGAUUAGAUACCCUGGUAGUCCAUGCCGUAAACGAUGUCUACUAGCCGUUGGGGCCUUUGAGGCUUUAGUGGCGCAGCUAACGCGAUAAGUAGACCGCCUGGGGAGUACGGUCGCAAGACUAAAACUCAA